rnacentral:rRNA from 1 species
AUUGAACGCUGGCGGCAUGCUUUACACAUGCAAGUCGAACGGCAGCGCGGGCUUCGGCCUGGCGGCGAGUGGCGAACGGGUGAGUAAUACAUCGGAACGUGCCCAGUAGUGGGGGAUAGCUCGGCGAAAGCCGGAUUAAUACCGCAUACGACCUGAGGGUGAAAGCGGGGGAUCUUCGGACCUCGCGCUAUUUGAGCGGCCGAUGGCAGAUUAGCUAGUUGGUGGGGUAAAGGCCUACCAAGGCGACGAUCUGUAGCUGGUCUGAGAGGACGACCAGCCACACUGGGACUGAGACACGGCCCAGACUCCUACGGGAGGCAGCAGUGGGGAAUUUUGGACAAUGGGCGAAAGCCUGAUCAAGCAAUGCCGCGUGUGUGAUGAAGGCCUUCGGGUUGUAAAGCACUUUUGGCGGGAACGAAAAGGACUGUGCCAAUACCACGGUUCGAUGACGGUACCCGCAGAAUAAGCACCGGCUAACUACGUG